rfam:Ciona savignyi cont_65481, whole genome shotgun sequence.
UCCUCGUUAGUAUAGUGGUAAGAGUCGCCGCCUACCACGCGGCAGACUGUGGUUCGAUUCCCCGACGGGGAU